rnacentral:rRNA from 1 species
GAGAAGACCCUAUGGAGCUUCAAACCCAACUACACCCCUAACUCUAUAGCCCCUCAACCACACUGGCCCCUGUAUAGUUGAUUUUAGGUUGGGGCGACCACGGAGUAAAACAAAACCUCCAUAAUGAACGGGCCUACCCCCUUAUCUAAGAACCACACCCCCUAAGAAUUAGAAUACUAACAUAAAAUGAUCCAUUAUUUGAUUAAUGAACCAAGUUACCCUAGGGAUAACAGCGCAAUCCAUUUCGAGAGCCCAUAUCGACAAAU